rnacentral:rRNA from 1 species
UGAGACCUGAUGCCGAGCCGAUUGUGGUGAAGUGGAUGAUCCUAUGCUGUCGAGAAAAGCCUCUAGCGAGUUUCAUGGCGGCCCGUACCCUAAACCGACUCAGGUGGUCAGGUAGAGAAUACCGAGGCGUUCGGGUGAACUAUGGUUAAGGAACUCGGCAAAAUGCCCCCGUAACUUCGGGAGAAGGGGGGCCACAUCUGGUGAUGAGCUUCGCGCUCUGAGCUGGGGGUGGCCGCAGAGACCAGCGAGAAGCGACUGUUUACUAAAAACACAGGUCCGUGCGAAGCCGUAAGGCGAUGUAUACGGACUGACGCCUGCCCGGUGCUGGAACGUUAAGGGGACCGGUUAGCUCCAUUUCGGUGGGGCGAAGCUGAGAACUUAAGCGCCAGUAAACGGCGGUGGUAACUAUAACCAUCCUAAGGUAGCGAAAUUCCUUGUCGGGUAAGUUCCGACCUGCACGAAUGGCGUAACGACUUCUCGACUGUCUCAACCAUAGGCCCGGUGAAAUUGCACUACGAGUAAAGAUGCUCGUUUCGCGCAGCAGGACGGAAAGACCCCGGGACCUUUACUACAGUUUGAUAUUGGUGUUCGGUUCGGCUUGUGUAGGAUAGCUGGGAGACUGUGAAGCGCUAACGCCAGUUAGUGUGGAGUCGUCGUUGAAAUACCAGUCUGGUCGUGCUGGAUGUCUAACCUGGGUCCGUGAUCCGGAUCAGGGACAGUGUCUGAUGGGUAGUUUAACUGGGGCGGUUGCCUCCUAAAGGGUAACGGAGGCGCCCAAAGGUUCCCUCAGCCUGGUUGGCAAUCAGGUGUUGAGUGUAAGUGCACAAGGGAGCUUGACUGUGAGACCGACGGGUCGAGCAGGGACGAAAGUCGGGACUAGUGAUCCGGCGGUGGCUUGUGGAAGCGCCGUCGCUCAACGGAUAAAAGGUACCCCGGGGAUAACAGGCUGAUCUUCCCCAAGAGUCCAUAUCGACGGGAUGGUUUGGCACCUCGAUGUCGGCUCGUCGCAUCCUGGGGCUGGAGUCGGUCCCAAGGGUUGGGCUGUUCGCCCAUUAAAGCGGUACGCGAGCUGGGUUUAGAACGUCGUGAGACAGUUCGGUCCCUAUCCGCUGUGCGCGUAGGAGUCUUGAGAAGGGCUGUCCCUAGUACGAGAGGACCGGGACGGACGAACCUCUGGUGUGCCAGUUGUUCUGCCAAGGGCAUGGCUGGUUGGCUACGUUCGGGAGGGAUAACCGCUGAAAGCAUCUAAGCGGGAAGCCUGCUUCGAGAUGAGGACUCCCACCCACUUGAUGGGGUAAGGCUCCCAGUAGACGACUGGGUUGAUAGGCCGGAUCUGGAAGCACGGUAACGUGUGGAGGUGACCGGUACUAAUAGGCCGAGGGCUUGUCCUC